rnacentral:rRNA from 1 species
AUUGAACGCUGGCGGCAUGCCUUACACAUGCAAGUCGAACGGCAGCACGGGAGCAAUCCUGGUGGCGAGUGGCGAACGGGUGAGUAAAGUAUCGGAACGCGCCCAGUCGUGGGGGAUAACGUAGCGAAAGUUACGCUAAUACCGCAUACGAUCUAUGGAUGAAAGCGGGGGAUCGCAAGACCUCGCGCGAUUGGAGCGGCCGAUAUCAGGUUAGGUAGUUGGUGGGGUAAAGGCUGACCAAGCCGACGAUCUGUAGCUGGUCUGAGAGGACGACCAGCCACACUGGGACUGAGACACGGCCCAGACUCCUACGGGAGGCAGCAGUGGGGAAUUUUGGACAAUGGGCGAAAGCCUGAUCCAGCCAUGCCGCGUGCAGGAUGAAGGCCUUCGGGUUGUAAACUGCUUUUGUACGGAACGAAAAGGUUUGGCCUAAUAAGCUGAGCUCAUGACGGUACCGUAAGAAUAAGCACCGGCUAACUACGUGCCAGCCGCCGCAGUAA